AUGGCAACGGGCGGCGCGGGGAAGCCGUGGCGCGGGCCGCGCGUUCCCUCAGGCGGCGGUAUUAACGGGACGAGUUAGCUCUGCCCGCUCGGCCUGAGCGUUGGUCGGGGCUCGGCCCCGGAGCCCUGCGCUGAGGGAGAAGCGCAGAUCUGUGCUUUCUCGACAGCCGAAAUGGGUUUGCUCCUUUGCUUCGGAACUGACUGUGGUGGCAGGGGAAGCUGUGGCUGGAAGACUGAGGAGAUAUAACGUGGUCGUCUGAGAGGAGGAACCUGGAUUCCAGCCCUGCUUUGCACCGUACUGAUGCAUUUUAUGUUACAAACUCGCUGGAAACAAACAAAUAAAAAUGGGUAUGCACAGGAGCCAGGGCUGCAGCUGGCGCUCUGGUUUCCUCUUACCUCAUAUUAAGACCCCAAUAUCAAACUAUUGCACAGUAAGCGACUGCUUGAUGACCCUGUGCACACUGCAAUGAGAUCCACAAGAGAGACAGAGCGUGCAUCUCCGAGCGCAGCCCUCAGCCAGAGCCCUCCCGCAGCGGUGGGAGACGCAGGGCUGAGCCUCCCUGGGGGAGAGCGUGCCAUCCAAACCACCUACAGAGAGAAAUAAAUGCUCUGCUUAGCAAACUUUUACCUCAGUACGAGGCUGCUCCUCUUCCUGCUGCAGCUUUUUUGUGCGAGGAGUGGUGCCCUCUGUUGUUCCAGAGAGAAGUUGCUGUGAUUAAGGGGACGGAGCGUGAACGUUUGUGUUUUUCUGGUACGACAACAUCUUACAGAUGCUCUGGUUUUGAUGUACAUGCAGCUGGCUGGGUCUGACAGCUCAGUGUACUGUGCUCAGGAAUUCAGUUUCCAGAGGGAAGCCCAAGAAGGAGGCAUCCGUAGGGGGGUACGUGCCAACAGGAUGAGUAGGAAAAGCCUGGUUACUAUCAGGCUUCUAAGAAGGUAGAAAAUACACCUAGAAUAGGCAAGAACUGCUCCUUAGAAGUGCCACCAAGGUAAAUGAAGAGUGUGGGAAAAUGUGUGGGCAGGAGUCAGAGCUAAAGCAGCCUUCAGCGUCUCCUUACACCUGAGAGAGAAGGAGUUACUGUGGUUUAAGAGGAUGCUGUCAUCAGGCAGUGUUUGUGGGCACUCCUAGUCCACCCAUGAAGAAAAACGCCUGUGUGAACUUGGGACUGCAGCUUGUUCUACAGAACAGAGAAACGGCUAAGUGAAGAUCCAUCCAUCUAUCUGCAAAACAUGAAGCAGAUAUACAAAAUGCCUAACAGCUGGUCAUGGGGGCAAGUUCCUGUGCUGUAAAUUACAGGACGUUGCCUGUGAGUCCACACGACAUGACACUGCCAUCGAGAGAAUGCUUCUUUGAAGGCACUUCUGCACUGUGAGACGAGCUUCUGGCUGAGCCAGAAGGAGGUCAUCAUUGAAGUGGUAAUUUACAUCAGCGAACAAGCCCUUAAAAUGACAGUCGUUUGCCCAGCUGUGAGGUGGGGAGACCACAGUGGCCAAGUCUACCUACUUACGAGUGAGGGCUUCAAGAGUGCACGAAGAUUUAACUGAUAGAAGUCAGCAAAACACGGCAAGCAGGAUAGGAACUGCAUCCAACCCCAUAGCGCAUUGUAAAUACGCGAUGCCAGGUAAGUACUGGGGAAUAUAAAAGCCUUUCAGCACAGUAACGCGCUUGACCAACGCUGGGGAAUAGAUUGAGAAGUUGACUGUAACAGUACUUCAAAAACAAGUUCACUGUGCCAGGAUACAAACUCAGAGAUUUUUGCCGACCCACAGCACUGUUCAUUGAUCCAUGAAGAUUUAUAGUCUGCAGUAGGCAUCGGUGUUGUUAGAGGAAGAAUAAAGCCGGUGCUGCUCACCAAAGCACGCUGACAAUAAAAUCCAGGAGAAGAAAAACGAAGUGAAAGCGCACUACGGAACCCAGGACAAAGGUUGUAUUUUACCACUCUAUUUUGUUAAGCUUAAAAGCUUUCAGCUUUCAUCUUGUAAUGAUGGUAAUGCUACUAACGCUGCUGUGUCAGAAGCAGCCAGGUUCAAAGAAGUCUUAAAACUGUAAACAGGAGUACCGCUCGUGGAGCGAUCAGCAUGCAAGCUCUAUUCACUGUGCUAUUAAAUGCGUUACUUAAAAGAAACAGAACAGGAGGCAAAAAAGAAAAGGGGGAGGGGAUUAAAGCUAACAAUCUCCACCUAAAAUGAAAUAAGGAAUUAAGCAAAGCGCUUGCCAAGAACUUUCCAAUUUAGAUUAAGGUUCCAAAUCAACAUGCGGUCCUAAAUAAUGAACUCGGUGCUCAAGAGCCACAUAAAGGGAAGUAUUUUGUAGAAGUAAUAUUUACACAGUUCAGCAGCCACACCUGGAGUGCAGCACCAGUCUAAAACAAAGCUGUCCUCGGCUGAGAUCAUUAGCUAAGAUUACUGCAUCCAGGCUAUUUAUGACACAGCUCAACAAUACCUGCACACCCACAACUGUGAUGUUAGCUUGCGUUAGAGGGGAUUCACUCACAAAUUAAAGGGCGAGCGAGCUGAUUCAAAACUAAUGACAGAACAUUUAAGAACACAGACAUGCUUAUAACAAACUGCUGCUUGUGAUGUGCUACCAUCAACAAGGAGAGAGCAGGCUGCUCUGAUGGCUGGCAAAGAACAGCUCAAUGCCCAUGUGUUUCUGCUUCUCAUUUGUUGUCCAAAAGCCUUCUGAACUAACUUGUGUUUAUCCAGCACCUUGCAGAACUCAGUCCUUCACUCACACAGAUCUUAUCUAAAAAAUGAACUUGUUUUAUAUGAGCAAUCUGUGAUGUCCAUUAAACCAUACGGUGCUUUUCCAAGCUGUAUAUUUAAUACAUUUUAUUUCAUGCAGUUCAUGAAAUAUCUUCAGGUACAGUUAGAUAAGCAGUGAAACAGUCAAUUCAAGGAGCUGCCAAAGCAGUGUGUGCCUCGCUAGUGGAUCCUUCACUUCAGAAAACACUUCUUUCCUUUUUAUUUAUUUAUUUAUUUUUCAAGAACACCAUUUCAAACCAUUGCACCAAUGGGAAUGGUACAGAAAACACAGCCCAGUUGGCUCAGUGCUGUAUUCUGUGCUUUCCUCCAUUCGUUAGCCCUUUCAGUUGGCCAGCUCCUUCUCA